UGUAGCAAGGUUAACCGUAUAGGGGAGCCGGAGGGAAACCGAGUCUUAACCGGGCGUUAAGUUGCAGGGUAUAGACCCGAAACCCGGUGAUCUAGCCAUGGGCAGGUUGAAGGUUGGGUAACACUAACUGGAGGACCGAACCGACUAAUGUUGAAAAAUUAGCGGAUGACCUGUGGCUGGGGGUGAAAGGCCAAUCAAACCGGGAGAUAGCUGGUUCUCCCCGAAAGCUAUUUAGGUAGCGCCUCGUGAAUUCAUCUCCGGGGGUAGAGCACUGUUUCGGCUAGGGGGCCAUCCCGGCUUACCAACCCGAUGCAAACUGCGAAUACCGGAGAAUGUUAUCACGGGAGACACACGGCGGGUGCUAACGUCCGUCGUGAAGAGGGAAACAACCCAGACCGCCAGCUAAGGUCCCAAAGUCAUGGUUAAGUGGGAAACGAUGUGGGAAGGCCCAGACAGCCAGGAUGUUGGCUUAGAAGCAGCCAUCAUUUAAAGAAAGCGUAAUAGCUCACUGGUCGAGUCGGCCUGCGCGGAAGAUGUAACGGGGCUAAACCAUGCACCGAAGCUGCGGCAGCGAACGUAUCACCCAAGACAACUUUACGGAGUUGACGAUUGACGGAGCGAAGCGACGUCAAAGCGUUCAUUAAAGUCGAGUUGGCUUAGGGAUACGUUCGUUGGGUAGGGGAGCGUUCUGUAAGCCUGUGAAGGUGUGUCGUGAGGCAUGCUGGAGGUAUCAGAAGUGCGAAUGCUGACAUAAGUAACGAUAAAGCGGGUGAAAAGCCCGCUCGCCGGAAGACCAAGGGUUCCUGUCCAACGUUAAUCGGGGCAGGGUGAGUCGACCCCUAAGGCGAGGCCGAAAGGCGUAGUCGAUGGGAAACGGGUUAAUAUUCCCGUACUUGGUGUUACUGCGAAGGGGGGACGGAGAAGGCUAUGUUGGCCGGGCGACGGUUGUCCCGGUUUAAGCGUGUAGGUGUGUGUUCCAGGUAAAUCCGGUUCACUUUAACACUGAGGCGUGACGACGAGGCACUACGGUGCUGAAGCAACAAAUGCCCUGCUUCCAGGAAAAGCCUCUAAGCAUCAGGUAACACGAAAUCGUACCCCAAACCGACACAGGUGGUCAGGUAGAGAAUACCAAGGCGCUUGAGAGAACUCGGGUGAAGGAACUAGGCAAAAUGGUGCCGUAACUUCGGGAGAAGGCACGCUGACACGUAGGUGAAGUGAUUUACUCAUGGAGCUGAAGUCAGUCGAAGAUACCAGCUGGCUGCAACUGUUUAUUAAAAACACAGCACUGUGCAAACACGAAAGUGGACGUAUACGGUGUGACGCCUGCCCGGUGCCGGAAGGUUAAUUGAUGGGGUCAGCG
rnacentral:rRNA from 1 species